UGCUGUUCUUUGAGCCUGACGUGGAUUACCUGGGCGCUGCCUCCACACCUGUUACUGGUCUCCCAUUACUGCUCCUCCAGUAUAAAGGUGUCCGAGUCGACCUCCAGAGAUCCAGAGUGAAGAGUCUGAUUAAAUAAUCAUUGGAGUGGCGGCGUGCGUGCAGCUUCUCCCCCUGCUCCUCACCUUGGGGACAUAUUGUCCCCUGUCACUGAAACCUCGGGGACAGAAGGCUCCGCCGUGGGGAGGCUCAGCAGGGGAGCGAGGGGCUGAUGAAACGAAGAUGGGGUAAUGAAGGCAUGGCCCAUGGCUUCCGUGGCUCCGCCAUAUGUUUCACCAAAUGCAAAUUGCCCCCAAUUCAAACAACUUUUUCAUCUUGAUAUAUGCAAAUGUGUUUAUAAAUACUGGCUUAUAAAUAUAGCAUUACAGUUUUUAAGGGGGGAGCUUUGAGCCCCUCCCUCCCCGUCGCUCUGCUGUUGUCAUGUGUGUGGCGCAGCGUGACAGACUUUAACGAACGGGCUCGGAC
ensembl:lncRNA